rnacentral:rRNA from 1 species
AGAGUUUGAUCCUGGCUCAGGAUAAACGCUAGCGGCGUGCCUUAUGCAUGCAAGUCGAGCGGUCUAUCGAAAGAUAGAUAGCGGCAAACGGCUGAGUAAUACGUAAGUAACCUACCCCUAUGUGGGGAAUAACCUGCCGAAAGGUGGACUAAUACCGCAUGUGGUGGUGGAAUUAGCUUUUCAUCACUAAAGCCUACGGGCGCAUGGGGAGGGGCUUGCGGCCUAUCAGGUAGUUGGUGGGGUAAUGGCCUACCAAGCCUGUGACGGGUAGCUGGUUUGAGAGGACGUCCAGCCAGACGGGGACUGAGACACGGCCCCGACUCCUACGGGAGGCAGCAGCAGGGAAUUUUGCGCAAUGGGCGAGAGCCUGACGCAGCAACGCCGCGUGAGGGAAGAAGGCCUUCGGGUUGUAAACCUCUUUUAUCAGGGAAGAAAAAUGACGGUACCUGAUGAAUAAGUCACGGCUAACUACGUGCCAGCAGCCGCGGUAAUACGUAGGUGGCAAGCGUUAUCCGGAUUCAUUGGGCGUAAAGAGCGCGUAGGUGGUUCUUCAAGUCAGAUGUGAAAUCUCCUGGCUUAACUGGGAGCGGUCAUCUGAUACUGCUGGACUCGAGGAUGGUAGAGGGAGGUGGAAUUCCCGGUGUAGUGGUGAAAUGCGUAGAUAUCGGGAGGAACACCAGUGGCGAAAGCGACCUCCUGGGCCAUUCCUGACACUGAGGCGCGAAAGCGUGGGGAGCGAACAGGAUCAGAUACCCUGGUAGUCCACGCCAUAAACGGUGGAAACUAGGUACAGGGAGUAUCGACCCUUCCUGCGCCGUAGCUAACGCGUUAAGUUUCCCGCCUGGGGACUACGGUCGCAAGACUAAAACUCAAAUGAAUUGACGG